UUAGAGUUUGAUCCUGGCUCAGAUUGAACGCUGGCGGCAGGCUUAACACAUGCAAGUCGAGCGGAGAUGAGGUGCUUGCNCCUUAUCUUAGCGGCGGACGGGUGAGUAAUGCUUAGGAAUCUGCCUAUUAGUGGGGGGACAACAUUCCGAAAGGAAUGCUAAUACCGCAUACGUCCUACGGGAGAAAAGCAGGGGAUCUUCGGACCUUGCGCUAAUAGAUGAGCCUAAGUCGGAUUAGCUAGUUGGUGGGGUAAAGGCCUACCAAGGCGACGAUCCGUAGCGGGUUUGAGAGGAUGAUCCGCCACACUGGGAAUGAGACCCGGCCCAGACUCCUACGGGAGGCAGCAGUGGGGAAUAUUGGACAAUGGGGGGAACCCUGAUCCAGCCCUGCCGCGUGUGUGAAGAAGGCUUUAUGGUUGUAAAGCACUUUAAGCGAGGAGGAGGCUACUGAGACUAAUACUCUUGGAUAGUGGACGUUACUCGCAGAAUAAGCACCGGCUAACUCUGUGCCAGCAGCCGCGGUAAUACAGAGGGUGCGAGCGUUAAUCGGAUUUACUGGGCGUAAAGCGUGCGUAGGCGGCUUUUUAAGUCGGAUGUGAAAUCCCCGAGCUUAACUUGGGAAUUGCAUUCGAUACUGGGAAGCUAGAGUAUGGGAGAGGAUGGUAGAAUUCCACGUGUAGCGGUGAAAUGCGUAGAGAUCUGGAGGAACACCGAUGGCGAAGGCAGCCAUCCUGGCCUAAUACCUGACCCUGAGGUACGAAAGCAUGGGAGCAA
rnacentral:rRNA from 1 species